rnacentral:rRNA from 1 species
UACAGAGGGGGCAAGCGUUAUUCGGAAUUAUUGGGCGUAAAGGGCGCGUAGGCGGCUUUGCAAGUGACGGGUGAAAUCCCUCGGCUUAACCGAGGAACUGCCUGUCAAACUGCAUGGCUUGAGACCGGGAGAGGUGAGUGGAAUUCCCGGUGUAGCGGUGAAAUGCGUAGAUAUCUGGAGGAACACCGGUGGCGAAGGCGGCAUCCUGGACCGAGAUUGACGCUGAGGCGCGAAAGCCAGGGGAGCAAACGGG